GUUGGAGAUCAACGGCUGGCGGAGGGGUUGGAGCAGUGGGCCGGAAAAGAAGCAACGGGCAACUCAAGGAGACUUCGCUUGCCGAUGGGACCGGCUUGCCACAACCAAGAAAGUUUAAGCUCAACUUCAACACGUUCUGGGCCAGAAAGUGAAGACCAGACAGUUGAAUGGGAAAAAGAAAAGGAGUGUGAACUAUCGCAAGGGAGACAAGAAAAGAUGUGGCAGAGGAAGUGCCUUCGAACUACAACGAGCGAGGAAAGAAAGAAAAAAAAAUGAGAAUACCAGCUCGACAGUCCAGAAAUGCCUGGGAUUUGUGAGGCCUCGGGUUCAAUUCCCAGUACUGGAGGAGUUUAAAUUAAGAUAUGUAUAUGC
rnacentral:lncRNA from 1 species